rnacentral:lncRNA from 1 species
AUUUACUCCACUGGCCAAACGUCACAAGGCUGAAUUUGCUGCCCUCUCCCUUGAUGUCGUCCCUCUUUCCAGGGGUUUUUGGCCUCUCAGGGAGGCUCGUAUGCUUUUGACCUGCUUUGCUGGGGUGUGUGUGAGGGGGGGUUAGGGUUAGAGCUCCAGGGUUCACAUCCAGAGUUAAUCUCCAUAUCCUUUGCACCCUCUCUGGAAACCUUUCAUUACCUCUUUAUUAGCUUAUAAAACUAAAACCAGCCCAAAAGGCUCCCAAGGUGAAGGCACUGUGGGGAAGGAAUCUCUAGGGACCCUUUGCCACCUUCUGGGAGGUCUUGGCAAGGGCGAAUUGCGCCUCCCUGUGCCAAUUGGCUUGGCCCUUUCGCCCAUCUGGAUAAGCCUUGACAAUGCCAUUUUCCUCUUGUGCUUUUAACAGCUUUUGGUCCACAAAUUUGAAAUGGCUCUGGCAGGAGCUUUCCCCCUUGCCUCUUCAUUUCAUGCGAAAGGGUUUGUGGCUGUUAGUGACAUCCUAGAGGAGGAAAUAUUUCAAUUGAAUUGAACGUAAUUCAUUCCCCCCACCCCCGUUUUUCAGAACACAGCAGCUCACCUGAAGGUCUGCUCACCAGUUGUCCGGAGCAGCCCACCUCCGUAGAAGAUGACGGGUGAGGCCUACCUUACCGGAACCUCCGUUGACCUUCCUGAAUCCUUCUUAAAGCUUCAACUGAGCUGCUAGCCUUUCCUAGCUGCUAAAGGGUGUGAUGUCAUGGGUGGAUCUGAUGACAUCACAGAGGAGAAGAGCAGGUCACAGAACCUGAAGGAGGGGAAGCCAAGGCCCUGCCCCCCCACCCCCCUUGCCCAAUAGCUGAGGAAAAGUGACUUCCAACCCUCCAUGUUGAGCUGGUGUCUGGAUUUUGGAGAAAUGCUGAGCGUGAAAAACCUUCUUCUUGGAAAUGCAACUCCCGAACCACUCAAGUCCUUUGAAUUUGGCACACGCCUGGCCCGUGACCACCUCUGUGGUGACCUAGGUGCUGAGGACUCUGACCAUGGACUCUUCAGGCUCAAAGGUGUUGCCCCACCAGCAGGCUCUGUCUGCCCCCCCCCCAAAAAAAAACAAUUCAGGUUGAAGGAAGGUGUCUCAUGUGUUCAUUAGAAAAGCA